AUUGAACGCUGGCGGCAGGCCUAACACAUGCAAGUCGAGCGAGAAAGGUCUUCGGACUGAGUACAGCGGCGGACGGGUGAGUAAAGCGUAGGAAUCUACCUGGUAGUGGGGGAUAACUUGGGGAAACUCAAACUAAUACCGCAUACGCCUACGGGGAAAGCGGGGACCGUUCGGGCCUCGCGCUAUCAGAUGAGCCUGCGUAGGAUUAGCUAGUUGGUGAGGUAAAGGCUCACCAAGGCGACGAUCCUUAGCUGGUCUGAGAGGAUGAUCAGCCACACUGGGACUGAGACACGGCCCAGACUCCUACGGGAGGCAGCAGUGGGGAAUAUUGCGCAAUGGGCGAAAGCCUGACGCAGCCAUGCCGCGUGUGUGAAGAAGGCCUUAGGGUUGUAAAGCACUUUCAAUUGGGAAGAAAGUUGGUCGUUAAUAGCGGCCAGCCCUGACAUUACCUUUAGAAGAAGGACCGGCUAACUCCGUGCCAGCAGCCGCGGUAAUGUCGUACG
rnacentral:rRNA from 1 species